CCCUUAGACGUUCUGGGCCGCACGCGCGCUACACUGACGAAGGCAACGAGCUUUCCUUUACCGAAAGGUACGGGUAAUCUUUUGAAACUUCGUCGUGCUGGGGAUAGAUCCUUGCAAUUUUUGAUCUUAAACGAGGAAUGCCUAGUAAGCGCAAGUCAUCAACUUGCGUUGAUUACGUCCCUGCCCUUUGUACACACCGCCCGUCGCUACUACCGAUUGAAUGGUUUAGUGAGGCCUUCGGACCCGCGACUCGUUUGUGGAGAAGUUGGACAAACUCAGUCAUUUAGAGGAAGUAAAAGUCGUAACA
rnacentral:rRNA from 1 species